UACGUAGGGUGCAAGCGUUGUCCGGAAUUAUUGGGCGUAAAGGGCUCGUAGGCGGUCCAUCACGUCGGGAGUGAAAAGCUGGGGCUUAACCCCAGUCCUGCUUCCGAUACGGGUGGACUAGAGGUAGGCAGGGGAGAACGGAAUUCCUAGUGUAGCGGUGAAAUGCGCAGAUAUCAGGAGGAACACCGGUGGCGAAGGCGGGUCUCUGGGCAACAACUGACGCUGAGGAGCGAAAGCGUGGGGAGCGAACAGG
rnacentral:rRNA from 1 species